UGGAUGUGGAUGUGGUUGUGUCUGCUCUUCCCAGCAAUUUUCGCUUAUCUCUGUCAUUGUGUAGCUUUGACAUAAACCAGACGACACGGCGACAAGCGGCUCACCGCCCAACGAAUCACUCCCGCCGUCCAUCCAUUGCAGCUUUGUCUGAAAUAGGAAGUUGGCCGUAGAUGGGAAAGAGCAAUUUAGGAAGCGUUGUAAAGCUUCAAAGGUACGUGCGACAAUAUGUGGCACACACACACAGCCACACGGAGACGGAGACACAUUUGUUCAGCUAUGCGGUAUAUCGUCGUGCUUAGCAUAACAAGGAUAAUGUGAUUAGCCAUCAAAGGAUUAGAUAAACAAAAGGUGUUAAUUAAAUAUUUUCUUCUUUUCACACGCUCACACGAGACAACGUUGUGCCAUGGAACAACAUGCUCACCACCCCCUCCCUCUCCUAAAAUCCCCAUUAAAUUUUAUAAUUGUUCAAAAAUGAACAAUUAGGCCAACAGCAGAGAGCGGAAGACAUACUGAGUACAAUGAAGACUUGUGUCUUGGUUUGAGGCAAUUUUAUAAUGACACACAUCUUUCCGCAUGGCAUAACAUUUAAAAAGCUCGAUGAAGUAGAGAAAAAUAUUAAAAUUUUUAAUACAAAAUAUUAACGGCUACAUAUUAAGCAUAAAAAAAAUCAAACCCCACCCUAAAAUUCUCCAGGUCUGAAGAUUGUAACCCGUAACUAACAUGAGUACAUCCGCCAUUCUUCAGUCGUGAGUUUUAAAUCAAAUACAAGUUUGUCCAUGGACGUUCCAUUAAGGAACAGUGGAAAACUUCUGAAAUAUCAAUUAGUGCUGACCCUUUUACAGCC